rnacentral:rRNA from 1 species
GAUGAACGCUAGCGGCAGGCCUAAUACAUGCAAGUCGAGGGAGGAGCCUUCGGGCUUCGACCGGCGUACGGGUGCGUAACGCGUAUACAAUCUGCCUUUCACAUAGGGAUAGCCCGAAGAAAUUUGGAUUAAUACCUAAUGGUAUAUAGAUGUGGCAUCACCUUUAUAUUAAAGCUGAGGCGGUGAAAGAUGAGUAUGCGUUCUAUUAGCUAGUUGGAGAGGUAACGGCUCCCCAAGGCGACGAUAGAUAGGGGUUCUGAGAGGGAUAUCCCCCACACUGGUACUGAGAUACGGACCAGACUCCUACGGGAGGCAGCAGUGAGGAAUAUUGGACAAUGGUCGGAAGACUGAUCCAGCCAUGCCGCGUGCAGGAAGACGGCCUUAUGGGUUGUAAACUGCUUUUGCAGGGGAAGAAUAAGGACUACGCGUAGUUUGAUGACGGUACUCUGCGAAUAAGCAUCGGCUAACUCCGUG